rnacentral:sRNA from 1 species
CAGCGCGUGAUAAGCCUGUUGAGGCGAGAUCAGGUGAACGUGGGUGUCGAUCCCGGCAGCGGUCAGAAUCAGGUGUUCGCCGGAGAUGGCGUCGGUGCUCACACCCACCACCAGGCCCGGGGUUACGCCAUUCAUGGUGCCCGGGUUACCGCUUUUACCAAUCCCGGCAAUCUUGCCGUCGCGGAUGCCGACGUCGGCUUUGAUCACGCCCUGGAUCGGGUCGAUGAUGGUGACGUUGGUGAUCACCAGGUCCAGUACGCCGUUAUCGCGGGUCAGGGUGUUGUCGGCGCCCAUGCCGUCACGCAG